rnacentral:lncRNA from 1 species
AGCAUAAUGAUAUUAUAUAAACCCACAAGAAAGAAAGAAAGAAAGAAAGAAAGAAAGAAAGAAAGAAAGAUGGAAGGUAAGAGUGAGGGAAGAAGGAGGAGGAGGAGGAGGAGAAAGAAAGAAAGAAAGAAAGAAAGAAAGAAAGAAAGAAAGAAAGAAAGAAAGAAAGAAAGAAAGAAAGAAAGAAAGAAAGAAAGAAAGAAAGAAAGAAAGAAAGAAAGAAAGAAAGAAAGAAAGAAAGAAAGAAAGAAAGAAAGAAAGAAAGAAAGAAAGAAAGAAAGAAAGAAAGAAAGAAAGAAAGAAAUGGGAGAGGAUCUGUUUGCACAAAAAAGAUGUAGAGCUGCACUUUUUGUAGUAACAAAGAAUUGGAAACUAAAACAAUGCCCCUC